UCUAAACACAUGCAGGCUAUGAGAAGGCAUUUUCUGGGUAUCUGCCAGUGCUACUGAAUGUCAUAGAAAGGGACUUCCCCUAGGACUGAGGAAACCUGGCUCUGCCACUAAGUAACCAUGCGAUGUUGAUCAGAUCAUUUAAUUUCUCUGAGUCUAGAGCUGAGGGGAUUGACUGAUCAGGAAUUCCCAAUCAGAAGAGAGCGCAGGAAGGAAGCAGCCACCCUUAAGUCCCCUGGGGAGCUUUUUCAAACCAAGCAUUUCUCCUUCCUUCCCAAGAUAUUGUAAUAGUGUUGGGAGGUGGGAGAGAAGAGUUGAGCCGGGAGGGAUGAACAUGUGCAGUGUGCAAUUAUUCCUCAGGUCAUUCACUCAUCUACUCAUUCAUUUAACAAACAUUCACUGACCACCUACUUUGUGCCAAACACUGUGCAAGGCUCUGGGAAUGCUAGAGUGAAUAAAGCAAACGGCUUUCUGCUGACUUUCUGGCUGCGCACACAGGCAAGUGAGUACAGGAUGGUGCAUGCUACUGAGUGGGGACCACAGGGCGUGAUGUGGGCUAAGGGUGAGGAGCCCCCUUGAGGAAGUGAUGCUUGAGUGGGUGUCAGCUAGGAGAGGAGCGUAGGGAUGGGUGUGGGAAGGUGGAGAUGUUUCAGGCAGGGAAAAGCAUUUGUGAAGGGGUUAAAGCUUAAAUGACCAAGGCACAUUUAAGGAGCUAUAAGUAGCCCCCUAUGACCUGAACUGGUAUAUGUUUCAUAGCCAGCCUUACAAAUCAUGCUAGUAGUUUAGAUUUCUGUCCUAAGUGCAGUGGGAAGACAUCAAAGGGUUUUAAGGAAGAAUGACUUGAAGAGAUUGGCACUUAAAAAAUAUCACCCUGGCUGUAGUUUGAAAAGUAUAGCAAAGAGGGGUGGCUGUGUUAGAGUCAAGGAGACCAUGGCAGAUAGCCGGGACCAGGGUAGUGUCAGUGGGCAUGGAGAGAAGAAGGCAGGUUUGAAAGAGACACAGAGAGUAGAAUCGACAGCAUAGUGGUUGGUUGGAUGCAAGAGGUGAGCUGUGUGUCUCCAGUUACAGGAGUUAGAGGGUUGGAUGUGGCUGCAUGUAUUUUGAUUUACAUUUGCCCCUUUAUGCGAUUCAAGCUAUGUCCUUCUCCAUUCACAAGAUCUUUAGAUUACAACAAGGCAGAAGAUCUUCUGUAUCCUCUGGAAUACUGAUGUCACUAGGAUGGAAUAUUCCACUGAUAAUAAGCACUCAAGCAAUAUACAGAUGAUCUGGAUUCCAGGGCCUUGUUUCCUCCUCUGCUCAAUGAGGGGGUUGAAUUGCGAACUUCAAAGACUGAUACCAGAGCUGAUUUUCCUUAACCCAUGGAACCUGGGCUCAGUUAUGUUUCUCCCCAGGCUGACCCAAGUUGCUGGCUGUAGUCAUAAAGGAAUCAGCAGUAUACCCUGAGUGCAAUGCACAUUUGGAUCCAGAGCUACCCAAAAGGAAGAACUUUUGCACUACUCCACGCCUGGAGUGCUGCAAGGAAAACAAAAACUCCCAUUGUGAUUUUUGUGGAAUUUGACAAGCUGAUUUGAAAAUCUAUAUGGAAGAUAUCUGGGUGGAGAAAGAAAAAAAAAGAGAGAAGCAAAAAUUUAUAUGGAAGAAUAGAAGACUAAGGAGGAAAAAGAAAGAUGGGAAGACUUGCACUACUGGAUAAAAAUCUAUCAUCAGAACACCUCUACAGGACUUACUUAGAGAGGCCAUGUUGAGUAGUGGGAAGACACAGAAGUCAGAACACCUGGGUUCUAUUCCUAGCUCUAGCACAUACAAGCUGUGUGACUCUAGGAAAAUCACUUAACCUUCGAAAUGCUGAUUUUCGUAUGUUGGAAAAUGGUUAUUCCUCCCGAGUACAGAGCACACGGGUAAG